AUUGAACGCUGGCGGCAGGCCUAACACAUGCAAGUCGAACGAGUGGCGGACGGGGGAGUAAUGACUGGGCAACUGCCUGAUGGAAGGGGAUAACUACUGGAAACGGUAGAUAAUACCGCAUACCAUCAGAUGUGCCCAGCUGGGAUUAGCUUGGUGGUGGGGUAACGGCUCACCAAGGAGACGAUCCCUAGCUGGUCUGAGAGGAUGACCAGCCACACUGGAACUGAGACACGGUCCAGACGCAUACGGGAGGCAGCAGUGGGGAAGAUUGCACAAUGGGCGCAAGCCUGAUGCAGCGAUGCCGCGUGUAUGAAGAAGGCCUUCGGGUUGUAAAGUACUUUCAGCGGGGAGGCGUUACCCGCAGAAGAAGCACCGGCUAACUCCGUGCCAGCAGCCGCGGUAAUAC
rnacentral:rRNA from 1 species